UAAAUCAUUGAUGAUGAUAAAGAGAUCUCGAUUAACCAUAUUAGUACGGGUAAAAAGAUGGAACCAAAGACAAAAUAGAUUGUCGACAAUAAAUGAGAAAGAGCGCUAUAUAAAUGAGGAUCCUGAAUGCACCUCUAUGUAUGAGGGUAGAGUGAAUUGAUUAGCCAAAGAGCGAAUGAGGCAAUCAAUUUGAUAUAAAGCUCGUUAGAAAAACGAGAAAUGUUUGGACCAAAAGUCCAAGGUAUAUAUUUCUCGAAGAAUAAAAUGAAAGAUGACCUUGAAGUAUGAAAAACGACUUGUUCCAAGGUCACUGGAGAAAAUUUAAAAAAGAUGCAGUAUAUUGAAAUGUCUGGCAGGACAUAAACGACUUGAUUUGCAUCUUGAUAUUUAGUAGUCCCUGGAGAGUUAAAGAUGCUCU
rnacentral:lncRNA from 1 species